AGGACGAACGCUGGCGGCGUGCCUAACACAUGCAAGUCGAGCGGGGACAUACGACGGAGAAGAAGUUUCGGAUGGAAUCGAAGAUGUAUGUUCUAGCGGCGGACGGGUGAGCAACGCGUGAGCAACCUGUCCUUCACAGGGGGAUAACACAGCGAAAGUUGUACUAAUACCGCAUAAGACCACGGCAGGGCAUCCUGGUGAGGUCAAAGGAGCAAUCCGGUGAAGGGUGGGCUCGCGUCCGAUUAGAUAGUUGGUGAGGUAACGGCCCACCAAGUCAACGAUCGGUAGCCGACCUGAGAGGGUGAUCGGCCACAUUGGGACUGAGACACGGCCCAAACUCCUACGGGAGGCAGCAGUGGGGAAUAUUGGGCAGUGGGGGGAACCCUGACCCAGCAACGCCGCGUGAGGGAAGAAGGUUUUCGGAUCGUAAACCUCUGUCCUUGGUGAAGAGGAAGAGACGGUAGCCAAGGAGGAAGCCCCGGCUAACUACGUGCCAGCAGCGGC
rnacentral:rRNA from 1 species